UACAUACUCCCUCCGUCCCGAAUUACUUGUCGCAUAAAUGAAUGUAUCUAGACGUAUUUUUAGUUCUAUAUACAUCCAUUUCAUCCAUUUCUCUGACGAGUAAUUCGGGACGGAGGGAGUAUGAG
rfam:Triticum aestivum genome assembly, contig: Triticum_aestivum_CS42_TGACv1_scaffold_146574_2BS